rnacentral:lncRNA from 1 species
CCAGCUGUGCUGCCUGCAGUCACCCCUGCAGUCUUCAGCCUUUGCCACCUCCAUAAUUCUGCAACUGACGAGGUGGCGUACGAAGAGGACAAAGAAAAGGAAAAAGAAUGAGAAGUUACUGAAAUGACAGCAUGCACUCCAAAAGCGAUCAGCGUGGACACACGUUAGCAGCACGACUUCCCUCGGCUUAAUGCUCCGGCCCCUUGAGCUUUCACUUCAUGUUGUUCACACA